CUCCCGUCCAGUGUUGUUCCCGACUUUUUUGGCUUUCUUUUCCAGUCAGUUUGGCUGACUGGUAGGCUGCCUCCUCUGCCUUCCUCCUGCUGUGCUUGCUUGCUUCCUCUCUUCUCUUCCGUGCUCCACUCCUUUUUGUUCCUCUCUCCAGUUUCGUUUCGCUCUUGUUGUUUUGCUUUCUUCGGCUUGCUUGUUGUUUCGGUGAUACUUCGGUUCUGCGUGUGCUCCACUCCUCGUAUGUUUUGCCCGGUAUAGUCACUGCCUCCGCGAUGUUGGGCCUCAUCGAUAUGGCCUUGCUUCGUCGCUGUUUCAAGGGAUCCUGAUUUUGCGUCUUCGGUGUUUCGUGUAGCUGCAGUCUGUUUCCAUUCUCUUCGUCUUCCGCUCACUCUGCCUGCUGUUGCGGUAUUCGGGGCUGUGCUGGCUGUUGCUGCUCUCCUCUUCCUCCCUGUCUUCGUCUGUGCUCUACUGAAAGGUGAUUCCAAUGCUCAACCCCUUAGGGCAUGCACAGUGCGGCAUAGCCCUUGAGUCCCAUUAGCCACGUCUUGCAAAAGCCUACUGAGCCACCCGCAAAGAUCCCAUGUGCACAAUGCAGCAUCCUUGAAUAGGGCCCACAAAUAUUUUUACAUUUCAGCCCUUUGAUUUUUUACUUUAAUCCCUGUUCUUUGUAUAUCUGAAAAUUCGACAGAAAGGACCUAUUUCUUGGAAAUGAAUCACACAAGAGGUUCAUAUCGUAGACUACUAUCCCCAACCUCACGCCGCACGUCUCUUAGAAGCGCGUCGGUCAAGCCGCCGCUCUCUUCGCCGAUGGCGCCGCGGCCGCCCAAGAUCUGGAUGUCCGAUAGGGACGUUGACCCCUUCCGGCAUGGCGGCACCCGUUCCUUGCGGUCUCCGCGCAGGCCAGCUCCCGCACCCAUGGCCGCCGCCGGGAGCACCCGGACACCACCGCCCGACAUCCCCCUCCUUCCCUCCGCCAGAGCUGCUCUCCCCUCGCCGGCGUCGUGCCCCCUCCUUCCCUCCAUCGGCUCGCCGACGCGACCGCCGCCGAGAGCAACCCGGACACCGCCGCCCAACAUCCCCCUCCUUCCCUCCGCCAGAUCUGCUCUCCCCUUACUGGCGCUGCUCCCCUCCUUCCCUCCAUCGGUUUGCCGGCGCUGCCGCCCCUCCUGCCCUUCUUCGGCUCCGCUCUCUCCUCGCCACGGGCACGACCGUCCCUCCUUCCCUUCCCCGGAGCUCGUCCUAUUUUCUUUGUUCAGUCCACACACUCUCUCUCUCAAACCACUCGUACCCUACCGAAGACUUUCUGACAGCUGGGGGGGCACGACUUUUUUCCCUCUCUCCUCCACGGUGGAGAUUCUCCCACGUGGAUGACUUGAGCUACUUGCUAGCAUGGUGCACUGUGUAUGCCCUUACCAUCCAUUGUCUCUGCCUGCGGUGUCUUCGUUUUAUGCUUCUGUUGUCCCUCUUUUUUUCCCCUACCGUGCUCCCUGCGAUAUGGUGCUCGUGUUUAUGCCACCGAUUAUUGUUUGCCUGUCCAUCUUGCUUCUGGUACUUUGUGCUGUUAAGCGUGUUGUGUGCAUCGCCCGAUAUAUGUGUAGGUGUACGUCUUUGUGCUUUUUGUGUUGCUUGGCCCAUGACCACACGGGAUAACGUUUUUUUUGUUUGUUGGCUGUGUCCUCAUACCGCCCUUUGCUGCUUCCUUUACUUCUUUCUAACAGUCGUCUUUUUGCUAGCCGUUGCACUAACCAUUCUGACUCAUGCAUUCUCGUCUCUUCUCUAUGCGUGUAUAUAGGGCCAUCUGUGUAUUGGUGCUUGCUCAGGCCCGAUCUCUUGCUGGCAGUGUCUGCUUAUUUCUUUUCUCUGCCUUUCCCUUUUUAGGUCGUGUGUUCUUCUCUCGUUGGUUCAGGCUUCUUUCGUAUGUUGUGUGCAUGCAUUGGCCUCUCUGUUUCACCAUGGUCGCUGUGCGCAGCUCCUGUGUGUUGCUUUUGAAUGAGGCGGCUCAACAAUGCAUGGUGCCAUUGCCCUUGUACCUAUGGGAGUUUGAUCCAGUGGACAACCUCCUGGCUGGUAUUGAGCUUGUGCCAUAAAAGGGCUCAUCGUUCAUACAACACAUCAGGCUAGGCUCCAGAGGGCCAGUACUGCAUUCCGUGCUUGUGCGCGUCAUGUUCCGUAUGCCUUGUAAGCCGUAAGCAAUCACUAACUAAGCAAAGAGGUGAAGAUGCACAGGCAAGGCAGAGCACAGUCAUGACAACUACCGCAUACGUGAGCCCUCUCACCACAUUGAACAGAAUGAGGCAGCGGGUCUGCCAUCCUCGUCUAGUCCCCAUCUCAAUCGCUGUGAGGGUGAGUGGGUGGACGAGCUCUAGGAGGCGAUGCGGUCGAUGAGCUCCCGACGAGCAUAAAUCAGGGCGGGUCAACGAGACUUAUUUGGGCCGGCAAUGUUCCUUCUCCCUCUAGUUAUGCCUUCGAACUUCACCAAAUCCACACCGAUGAGCCCAUCUAGAUCCACCGCUAUCUACUUCCACUUCUCCACUUUCGCUGGCCACUAUGGAUCUAGCGCCUCUAACCCCAUGUAACGAUAGUUAGGGUUGAAAAUGGUAUGAAAAAUCCCGAACGAACUGGCUGUUGUUUAUGGUAUGAAAAAUCCCGAACGAACUGGCUGUUGUUUCUAUUUUCUCCUGAGCAUUUUAGCCGGUAACGGGAAUUUGUGGAAAUGGAAAAGGAAACGUAAAGUUUUCCAGAAAUGGUAACGGAAACAGUAACGUAUUUUUUCUGACUGUUUUAUCGAAAUUUUGUAUUGGACCAAAAAUUUCUAAAAUUUACCAGAAAAAUUUUGAAAGCCCACAAAAUCCUCUAGCUUGUCUAAGUCUCACAAUCACAUCCACACAACCCAUCUUACUCACUAACUCUGAACAACCCGUACACUCCCAUCCUCUGUAUUUACUAUGUUAUUAAUUUGUAUGAUGUAAGUAUGAAGUGGUAUUGUUAUUUAACUAUCUUUAUGUUUAAUAUUUAAUGUUAUAUAUAACGUUAUUUUUGACAUGUUCCAUCUACCGACAGAUAUCGAUAUAUUUUUGUAUCAGUGGUUCCGUUUUCGUAAUUCCGACAAUACCAAUAUCGUUUUUAUUUCCGCCUCUAUCAUUCCGUUUUCUUUUUCGAACAAAAAAAAUAUGAAAAUGGAAAUGGGUAAUGGGUGAGACAGUUUUCUGACCGUUUUCGUCCCUAACGAUAGUGACCACCGAUCUCGGGGGUGUCAGCAGCAACUACUCAUAAUUCCGAUCACCUGUAUUCCCCUCCUCUGUUUAGGUUUGGGGUAGAGUUCCUCGUUCGCUCAAUGCAUUUGUUGGCCAUGUCUUUGUGGCUUCUCUAGCAAAACCAAUGCAGAAGAAGCGAGAGUUUUGACGAGGCUACUCACCCUCGCCAUCUCUCCCCUUCUCCCCUCCACACUGACUGGUGGCAGACGUGGCAUGGUAUGAUCACUUAAUAACCACAUUGCCACACACUGUAAAUGCCCUUCGGCACGUCAUGUGGAAGUCUGAGUAGUAGCACAAUGGUUUGAGGCAGUUGCUACUGUAGUCUGGCCACUGAUCACUGACAGUACCUUUUAGAUUUUUAGCUGAAACUGAAAUGAGUUGUGCAUGGUAAGAAAUUGAAGGAUGCAUAAUGUAAGGCCCUGUUUAGUUCCUAAAUUUUUUUUCUCAAAAACAUCACAUUGAAUCUUUGGAUACAUAAAUA